CUGUACGUUCGCAAGAAAGAAUACCGUAAAGGUUAUAAUAAAGAAAGAAUAGCGACUGUUUAUCAAAAACAUAGAACUCUGCUAAUUUGAAAAAAGAUGUAUAGGGUUUGACGCCUGCCAGGUGCUUAUCUAAAAAAAUAAUUAGUAUUUUUGCUAAUUUAAUAAUUAUAAGUAAACGGCGGUCUUAACAAUAAGGAUCCUAAGGUAGCGAAAUUCCUCGACGGGUAAAUUCCGUCCUGCAUGAACGGCGUCACGACUAUUCUACUGUCUCAAGCAUAAACUCAGCGAAAUUAUGAUAUCUGUGCAAACACGGAUUGCCCACAGUUAGACGGAAAGACCCUUUAAUCCUUUACCAUAUUUUUAUAUUGAUUUGCGUUUUAUUUAGUAUAGCAUAAGUGG
rnacentral:rRNA from 1 species